rnacentral:rRNA from 1 species
AUUGAACGCUGGCGGCAGGCCUAACCCAUGCAAGUCGAGCGAGCGGCGGACGGGUGAGUAAUGUCUGGGAAACUGCCUGAUGGCGGGGGAUAACUACUGGAAACGGUAUCUAAUACCGCAUACCAUCAGAUGUGCCCAGAUGGGAGUAGCUAGUAGGUGGGGUAACGGCUCACCUAGGCGACCAUCCCUCGCUGGUCUGAGAGUAUGACCAGCCACCCUGGAACGGAGACACGGUCCAGACACCUACGUGAGGCGGCAGUGGGGAAUAUUGAACAGUGGGCGCAAGCCUGAUGCAUCCAAGCCGAGUGUAUGAAGAAGCCCUUCGGGUUGUAAAGUACGUUCAGCGGGGAGGCGUUACCCGCAGAAGAAGCACCGGCUAACUCCGUGCCAGCAGCCGCGGUAAUAC